rnacentral:rRNA from 1 species
UACGGAGGUGGCAGGCGUUACUCGGAUUGAUUGGGUGUAAAGGGAGCGUAGGUGGCAAAUUAAGUCGAAUGUGAAAUACUCUGGCUCAACCAGAGAACUGCAUCCGAAACUGAUUUGCUUGAGUGUUGGAGAGGAAGAUGGAAUUCCCGGUGUAACAGUGAAAUGUGUAGAUAUCGGGAGGAACACCAGUGGCGAAGGCGAUCUUCUGGCCAACUACUGACACUGAUGCUCGAGAGCUAGGGGAGCAAACAGGAUUAGAUACCCUGGUAGUCCUAGCCGUAAACGAUGUACACUAGGUGUCGGGCCCUUUGGGUUCGGUGCCGCAGUUAACACAUUAAGUGUACCACCUGGGGAGUACGGUCGCAAGACUGAA